rnacentral:rRNA from 1 species
UACGGAGGGUGCGAGCGUUGUCCGGAAUCACUGGGCGUAAAGGGCGCGUAGGCGGCCUGAUAAGUAGGGGGUGAAAUCCUGCGGCUUAACCGCAGGGCUGCCUUCUAAACUGUCAGGCUAGAGCACAGUAGAGGCAGGUGGAAUUCCCGGUGUAGCGGUGGAAUGCGUAGAGAUCGGAAAGAACAUCAGUGGCGAAGGCGGCCUGCUGGGCUGUUGCUGACGCUGAGGCGCGACAGCGUGGGGAGCAAACAGG